UGACCUCGGAUCUGUCGUGAUUACCCGCUGAACGUAAGCAUAUCACUAAACGGAGGAAAAUAAACGAACCUGGAUUCCCCUAGUAAUGGCAAGUGAAGAGGAAAUAGCCCAGCACUGAAGCCUGUGGUAGGUUAACUGCUAGGCAAAGUGGUGUUUGGGUCGAUUUGCGGGAUCGCUACUCCACUCGAUGUCCAUCACUGAGUAUGAUUCCCUGGAUUUGGACCAAAAAGGGUGAAAGGCCCGUUCGAUCGGAGGCUCAGACAUGUAAGGCAAUUCACCAGGUCGACCUUCGAUUCGGGUUGUUUGGGAAUGCAGCCCAAAGUGGGUGGUUAUCUCCAUCCGAUAGCGAAAAAUUACCGCUAGGGAAAGUUGAAAAGUACUUUGAAGAGAGAGUAAACAGUACGUGAAUCCGCAUAGAGGUAAACGGAUGUCGUCAAG
rnacentral:ncRNA from 1 species